rnacentral:rRNA from 1 species
UUGAACGCUGGCGGCAUGCCUUACACAUGCCAGUCGAACGGCAGCAUGAUCUAGCUUGCUAGAUUGAUGGCGAGUGGCGAACGGGUGAGUAAUACAUCGGAACGUGCCCUGUAGUGGGGGAUAACUAGUCGAAAGAUUAGCUAAUACCGCAUACGACCUGAGGGUGAAAGUGGGGGACCGCAAGGCCUCAUGCUAUAGGAGCGGCCGAUGUCUGAUUAGCUAGUUGGUGAGGUAAAGGCUCACCAAGGCGACGAUCAGUAGCUGGUCUGAGAGGACGAUCAGCCACACUGGGACUGAGACACGGCCCAGACUCCUACGGGAGGCAGCAGUGGGGAAUUUUGGACAAUGGGCGAAAGCCUGAUCCAGCAAUGCCGCGUGUGUGAAGAAGGCCUUCGGGUUGUAAAGCACUUUUGUCCGGAAAGAAAUGGCUCUGGUUAAUACCUGGGGUCGAUGACGGUACCGGAAGAAUAAGGACCGGCUAACUACGUG